rnacentral:rRNA from 1 species
GACGAACGCUGGCGGCGUGCUUAACACAUGCAAGUCGAGCGGUAAGGCCCUUUUGGGGGUACGACGAGCGGCGAACGGGUGAGUAACACGUGGGUGACCUGCCCUCAGCUCUGGGAUAAGCCUGGGAAACUGGGUCUAAUACUGGAUAUGACCUUUCCUCGCAUGGGGUUGGGGUGGAAAGUUUUUCGGCUGGGGAGUGGGCCCGCGGCCUAUCAGCUUGUUGGUGGGGUGGAUGGCCUACCAAGGCGACGACGGGUAGCCGGCCUGAGAGGGCGACCGGCCACACUGGGACGUGAGACACGGCCCAGACUCCUACGGGAGGCAGCAGUGGGGAAGUAUUGCGCAAUGGGCGGAAGCCUGACGCAGCGACGCCGCGUGGGGGAU